rnacentral:rRNA from 1 species
GUGGGGAAUAUUGGACAAUGGGCGAAAGCCUGACGCAGCCAUGCCGCGUGGAUGAUGAAGGUCUUAGGAUUGUAAAAUCCUUUCACCGGUGAAGAUAAUGACUGUAGCCGGAGAAGAAGCCCCGGCUAACUUCGUGCCAGCAGCCGCGGUAAUACGAAGGGGGCUAGCGUUGUUCGGAAUUACUGGGCGUAAAGCGCACGUAGGCGGACAUUUAAGUCAGGGGUGAAAUCCCGGGGCUCAACCCCGGAACUGCCUUUGAUACUGGGUGUCUGGAGUAUGGAAGAGGUAAGUGGAAUUCCGAGUGUAGAGGUGAAAUUCGUAGAUAUUCGGAGGAACACCAGUGGCGAAGGCGGCUUACUGGUCCAUUACUGACGCUGAGGUGCGAAAGCGUGGGGAGCAAACAGGAUUAGAAACCCCUGUAGUCC